rnacentral:rRNA from 1 species
CAGCAAAGGGAGCCCGGAGAUGGCCUGUAGUAGCAGGGACGGGGAUUGGGGAGGAAGACGGCAGGGUGUCAGGGGAGGGGGCAAGGACGGCAGUUAGAUCUGGAGAGGACGGCGGCUCGAUCUCGGAAUGGAGCUCGGGGGGGAGUACAAGGACGGGUGGAUGUCGGGGUGGAGCUCGGGGGCGAGGGAGUGCGAGCUCCGAGACGACGGCUUGACGACGGGGGUGGACGCGAGGCCGCGGCAGGACUGUGGAUCGAGCACGAGGGCGGCGGCGGCGGCAGGCACGGGUUAGGGUCGGAGUUGGGGAUAUUUUGCACGGGGUGGAGGAUAUUUUGCACGAACACCCGGAAGUUUCCCCCUCGCG